rnacentral:rRNA from 1 species
UACAGAGGUCUCAAGCGUUGUUCGGAUUCAUUGGGCGUAAAGGGUGCGUAGGUGGCGCCGUAAGUCGGGUGUGAAAAUUUCGGAGCUUAACUCCGAAACUGCAUUCGAUACUGCGGUGCUUGAGGACUGGAGAGGAGACUGGAAUUUACGGUGUAGCGGUGAAAUGCGUGGAUAUCGUAAGGAAGACCAGUGGCGAAGGCGGGUCUCUGGACAG